rnacentral:lncRNA from 1 species
GUAGAUUUAGAGAAGUUAGAACAACGCAGAUAGGGAAGUCAAUAGUAGAAGGCAAUGUAUAUAUAAAAAAGGAGUUUCAACCUCAAUUCAAAAAUAUAAAGUCUGACAAAUAAAGUAAAUGCAAAAACAAUUAUAUAGUUUCUUCAAACAUAACCACCUCACAACAUUCUAAUGACGAAACCUAAGAUUGGCUGGGCAGAGAAAAUAGCUCUUCAUUCAACGGUACUGCAACAAAAAUAAUAACAAAAGGUGUUACUCGUACAGAGAUUUUAAAUGAUUGAAUCUAAGGACAUCACAAUCAAAUGUUUUACCUUAAUGAAGCCAAUUUCCUUGGCAUUGCUGUGGAAGCAUUGCCUGCAGCACAUAAGGCCAUACUUCCUGAUCAAUCCAUGUGAAUUCCCGCACACACGACUACAGAGAGUAAGACAAAACAAGAUCACAAUCAACAAGACAAUUCAAAAUUAAAAAAACAACUCAUCUGCAAUACAAAAUCAAUUGUUCUACAGAAUUGUGAGAAUGUUUAUAAUAUACACUAUUGUUCAAAAAUUAAUGUUCACUGUUGCUCAUAUAAUAUAAGGUUUUCCACUAAAUUACAUAUGUUCAAAUCAUCGACAAUGAGAACAAAACAACAUUAAACCAAAUCAGUAAUAAACAAGCUUCUUAGCUAUAAGCUCAGUUAAUAUCCCCAAAAUAUAUUAUGAAUAGCACGAGUCAUCAAUCUCAAACCCAAACAGCACAACCCAAAGCAAUAGAACAUGGAAACAAAUAGUUAAACGUUUCAAAAUUCAUAAAUCAUGAUCAAAAUGUAAACUUUAACGGUGGAAAAUACUAGAAACCUAGAUGAAUCAAAAAAAGUUAUGAGAAUCGAAGAUUGAACAUACCAAGUGCGGGAACCAGGACCAUAGGUCUUGGGGUGAGAGUUCCAAACAUUUGAGUGUCCCAUGUUUUAUUGAUUUGAUCGCCGGUGAGACUCAAAUGCGCAAACAGCUGAAGAAUUGUGUGGUAGGUGAAGGAUAUUUCG